GACAUCUUUGAUUUUACAUUCAUCUUUUCCAAAUCCUUACUCAACCCCAUUUCAUUGUUCUUCACAAGCGAUUCUCCGUCUUCACCUCUAGAUGCAGCCCCAUCUGAAUCAAUAACCAGUACAGUUUCUGAAGGGUUCUGGUUCGAACUCUCCCUUGUCUCUCGAUUAACAUUUGGUGUAGCUUCUCCACUGAAGCCGAGCGAAGUUCCAGUUGCUUCCCUGUGAGCUUCCUUGUCGCCGCCAGCAGAGGCGGCGUUUUCUGGGAUUACCACAAUGGUAGCCUCGAUCCUAUCGCCAUUAACCGAAUCGCUAGUGGGUUUAGGCACCCCUGUUUCUAUUCGAC
rnacentral:misc_RNA from 1 species